AGAGUUUGAUCCUGGCUCAGGAUGAACGCUAGCGGUGUGCCUGAGAUAUGCAAGUCGAGCGACCCCCGAGCAAUCGGGGGAGCGGCGGACGGCUGAGUAAUACAUAGGAAUCUGCCUCUUUCUGGGGAAUAGCUCCGAGAAAUCGGGAUUAAUACCCCAUGGUUCCCCCGCCUUUGGCGGGGGAUAAAGAGAGUAACUUCUCGGUAAGAGAUGAGCCUAUGGCCUAUCAGGUAGUUGGUAGGGUAAUGGCCUACCAAGCCUAUGACGGGUAGCUGGCCUGAGAGGGUGGUCAGCCAGAGGGGGACUGAGACACGGCCCCCACUUCUACGGAAGGCAGCAAUCAGGAAUAGUCGGCAAUGGGCGAAAGCCUGACCGCGCGACACCGCGUGUAGGAUGAAGCUCUAAUCGAGCGUAAACUACUGUGGUAGAGGAAGAACUCCCGCCUAUGGCGGGAUUGACGGUACUCUACUAGAAAGGGGCCGCUAACUGCGUGCCAGAAGCGUCGGUAAUACGUGGGCCUCAAGCGUUAUCCGGUAUCACUGGGCGUAAAGGGUCGUGUAGGCGGUUUGAAAAGUUAUCUUUUAAAUCCCGAUGCUCAACAUCGGGACUGGAGAUAAUACUUUCAAACUAGAGUUUUCUUUAGGGAGAUUGGAACUGAGGGAGGAGUAGUGAAAUGCGUUGAUACCCUCGGGAACACCAGUGGCGAAGGCGAGUCUCUGGAAGAAAACUGACGCUGAGACACGAAAGCUAGGGGAGCGAAGCAGAUUAGAGACCUGCGUAGUCCUAGCCUUAAACGCAUGCUUGCUAGCUGGGCUUUUUCCCGCCUUUGGCGGGAUCAGACCUGGCGAAGGUAACCCGUUAAGCAAGCCGCCUGGGGAGUACGACCGCAAGGUUAAAACUCAAAGGAAUUGGCGGGGAGGCACACAACCAGUGGAACAUGUGGUUUAAUUCGAAACGAACCGAAGAACCUCACCAAGGUUUGACAUCCUAUUGAAAUCCUGAUGAAAGUUAGGACCUUCCGCAAGGAACAGUAGGACAGGUGCUGCAUGGCUGUCGUCAGCUCGUUCCGUGAGGAGUGCCCUUAAGUGGGACAACGAGCGCAACCCCCAUCUUGAGUUAUAUGUAUCUCAAGAGACUGCCUCGCCUUUGGCGGGGAGGAAGGAGGGGCAGACGUCAAGUCAGCGUGGUCCUUAUACCUUGGGCUACACACAUGUUACAAUGGACAAAACAAUGAGCUUUGCAAACCAGCAAUGGUAAGCGAAUCCCCAAAAUUGUUCUCAGUUGGGAUUGAGGUCUGCAACCCGACCUCAUGAACUCGGAAUUGGUAGUAAUCGUGGAUCAGCUAUGCCGCGGUGAAUACGUUCUUGCCUCUUGCACACACCGCCCGUCAAGCCAACAAAGUCGGAAGCAUUUGAACCCCGCCUUUGGCGGGGGAGGAUAUUUUCGGCGAUGAGGGUUAAGUCGUAACAAGGUAACC
rnacentral:rRNA from 1 species